AAAUGAAUAGACGGGCACCCGCACAAGCGGUGGAGCAUGCUGUUUAAUUCGAAGAUACGCGAAAAACCUUACCUAGAUUUGACAUCCCCGGCAAAGCUAUAGAAAUAUAGUGGAGGUUACCCGGGUGACAGGUGGUGCAUGGUUGUCGUCAGCUCGUGUCGUGAGAUGUUUGGUUAAGUCCAAUAACGAGCGCAACCCUCGUCUUUAGUUGCUAACAUUUAGUUGAGAACUCUAAAGAUACUGCCUACGUAAGUAGGAGGAAGGUGAGGAUGACGUCAAAUCAUCAUGCCCCUUACAUCUAGGGCUACAGGCGUGCUACAAUGGCCAGUACAACGAGUCGCAACACGGUGACGUGAAGCUAAUCUCUUAAAGCUGGUCUUAGUCCGGAUUGGAGUCUGCAACUCGACUCCAUGAAGUUGGAAUCGCUAGUAAUCCCGAAUCAGAAUGUCGGGGUGAAUACGUUCUCGGGUGUUGUACACACCGCCCGU
rnacentral:rRNA from 1 species